UCCCUGAUAGUCCAGUUGUUAAGAUUUGCACUUACAAUGCACAGGACACAGGUUUGAUUCCUGGUCAGGAAA
rfam:Ovis aries breed Texel chromosome 8, whole genome shotgun sequence.